GGGGGCUUCUUAAGGAAGUAAAAAUACCACAUAAAUAUCAAGUGUAUUUGUCCAAGUGACCAUCUGUAACAUCUUACUUGUUACUACUACAACUGAACCAGCUACUACCACACCUGUACCCAGCAUCAUGCUCCUUGUCAGACUGACUGCGUUCACCUUGCUGGCUGCAGUUUGCUGUACACUACCAGCUGCAGCGACGAGAGUGGUCACCUGUGACAAUGGAGAAAACGUCCAGUUCCUGAUCUGUGAUUCUGGAGUGAUCUUCAUUGAGAGAGCUCUGUAUGGAAGGACUGACGGAACCACCUGCAGAGAAGGACGACCUGCCAACCAGCUGACCAACACACAGUGUUCACAGACGGGCACCCUGGAGGUCCUCUCACACAGGUGCAAUGGGAAACAGGUGUGUGAAGUGAACACUGAAGUCUUCCGUACUUCUGACCCCUGUGUUGGAAUCUACAAAUACCUGGAAACCACCUACACCUGCAUCCCAGCAACACGCAGCAUCACGUGUGAAGGCUCUGAUGCUCUACUAGAAUGUGAUGAAGGAACGAUCCAGAUCUACAGUGCCAACUAUGGCCGCCGUGACCAGCUAGUGUGUUCCUUUAAUCGGCCCGCUAACCAACUAGCCAACACCAACUGCCUCAGCCAAUCCAUAACCACCAGUAAGGUGGCAGAGAGGUGUAAUGGGAAGAGCCAGUGUGACGUCUCGGCGUCCAACUCUCUGUAUGGAGAUCCCUGUGUAGGAACCUACAAGUACCUGGAUGUGGCUUACACCUGUGGCUAAAUGAGAUCUUCUCUGAGGAACAAAGACCAGAGAGACCACUUGGAUAUCUAAUAAUGAUGCCCCUCUUGUGCUGCAGCAAUGCACGGUUCUUCAAAAGUAGCAAUCCUUUGCCUUGACAGCGUUGCACACUCUUGGGAUUCUCUCAACCGGCUUCAUCUGGAAUGCUUUUCCAACAGUCUUCCCUCAACACAACCUGGGGUAUAACAACAAAGCCAAAACACAGGGAUAUUGGAGGGUAAAUUAUUAUUCAAUGUAAACCGGCAAUAAACAUCAUUUCAUGCAUCUCCUUCAACUCAAAAGGAAACGGUAUACCAAGAACAUUAGAUGGUGAUAAAUCAACAUUUUGUAACAGGACAAUUACUGUGAAAGUGGGUGUUCAUCUGAAUCAGUGAAAGCUCUUCCCCUGAAUCUCUUCUGAUAUCACCUGACUUAUGUGAGGAGAAUAUUAACUUAACUGACUUGACUAGUUAAAGGUUCAAAAAUAAAAAAUGAGAGAAAGAGGGAUUAGACGGAGAUGUCAUAAACGAGACCCGUAAGUAUCGGAGCCAACUGUUUCCAUUGUUUCGGUCAGCUCCAUUCAUUGGGAGUUCAUUUUGGCUUCCAAUGCCGAUAUACUUCCUGGAUAAUCUUCAAUUUGAUGACUUCACUGUCUAAUCCUUAAUCUCAUUCUAGCUGUGUAACCAGAAAGUUUGGGGACAACCCAAAGGCAAAAAUACAAUCUGUUUUCCAUUUGAAUCAUUGAUUGAUAUAUGUAACUUAAAUCAGGCAAAAUGUGACUGAUCCAUGUUCAAAUUGUAUUGUAAAAAAACAUUAAGAAAUGAAGUCUUAAUAGAUUUCCCA